UGUCCCAGCCGCCGCGGUAAUACGUAGGGGGCAAGCGUUAUCCGGAAUUACUGGGCGUAAAGGGUGCGUAGGCGGUUUAUCAAGUCAGGGGUGAAAGGCUACGGCUCAACCGUAGUGAGCCUCUGAAACUGGUGAACUUGAGUGUAGGAGAGGAAAGUGGAAUUCCCAGUGUAGCGGUGAAAUGCGUAGAUAUUGGGAGGAACACCAGUGGCGAAGGCGACUUUCUGGACUACAACUGACGCUGAGGCACGAAAGCGUGGGGAGCAAACAGGAUUAGAUACCCUGGUAGUCCACGCUGUAAACGAUGAGUACUAGGUGUCGGCUGUCAAAGGUCGGUGCCGGCGUUAACACAUUAAGUACUCCGCCUGGGGAGUAC
rnacentral:rRNA from 1 species